GUCGAACGGUGAACGGGGCUUCGGCCCCCGGAUCAGUGGCGAACGGGUGCGUAACACGUGGGCAACCUGCCCCUCACUCUGGGAUAACCCCGGGAAACCGGAGCUAAUACCGGAUACUCCGAACGGUCCACAUGGUCUGUUCGGGAAAGGUCCGCCGGUGAGGGAUGGGCCCGCGGCCUAUCAGCUUGUUGGUGAGGUAACGGCUCACCAAGGCGACGACGGGUAGCUGGUCUGAGAGGACGACCAGCCACACUGGGACUGAGAUACGGCCCAGACUCCUACGGGAGGCAGCAGUGGGGAAUCUUGCGCAAUGGGCGAAAGCCUGACGCAGCGACGCCGCGUGGGGGGCGACGGCCCUCGGGUUGUAAACCCCUUUCGGCAGGGACGAAGCGAUUGUGACGGUACCUGCAGAAGAAGCCUCGGCUAACUACGUGCCAGCAGCCGCGGUAAGACGUAGGAGGCGAGCGUUGUCCGGAUUCAUUGGGCGUAAAGAGCACGCAGGCGGUUUGGCAAGUCGGAUGUGAAAACCCGGAGCUCAACUCCGGGCCUGCAUCCGAUACUGCCCGACUAGAGGUAGGUAGGGGAGAUCGGAAUUCCUGGUGUAGCGGUGAAAUGCGCAGAUAUCAGGAGGAACACCGGUGGCGAAGGCGGAUCUCUGGGCCUUACCUGACGCUCAGGUGCGAAGGCUAGGGGAGCAAACAGGAUUAGAUACCCUGGUAGUCCUAGCCGUAAACGUUGGGUGCUAGGUGUGGGCGGAUAUCAACCCCGUCCGUGCCGAAGCUAACGCAUUAAGCACCCCGCCUGGGGAGUACGGCCGCAAGGCUAAAACUCAAAGGAAUUGACGGGCCCCGCACAAGCGGCGGAGCAUGUUGCUUAAUUCGAUGCGACGCGAAGAACCUUACCUGGGCUUGACAUGCAGGUGAAACCCGUGAAAGCGGGCGCUGUUCGAGCCUGCACAGGUGGUGCAUGGCUGUCGUCAGCUCGUGCCCGUGGAGUGGUGCCUUAAGUGCCGACGAGCGCACCCCUGUCUUAGUUGCCGGCGGUCAUGCGGGACUCUAGGAAACUGCGUGCAACCGGAGAA
rnacentral:rRNA from 1 species